rnacentral:lncRNA from 1 species
CCCACGUCCCUCAGCGCCCCCGCGUGCGUCCCCACGUCACUCAGGGGCCCUGCGUGCGUCCGCUCAGUGGCCGGGUGUAUGUCCCCUCAGCGGUCCAGCAUGUAGGUUGUGUGGUGUUGCUUUUCGAGGUGGUUUGUGAUGCUUGAUUUUCCUGCAAGAGUGGAAGGAAGAAACGUUGAGGAGGACCCUGCAGGUUACCUGGGCCCCACCAGGUCAUCAGGAGCAUCUCCCAUCUCAAGAUUCAUCACCGAGUUCCCUAUGCAGAGUCCCUGGUGCGGUAGUGAGGAAUACUUAGUUGGGAAAGGCAAAAUAAAUGCAUCAGUCUGUACAGAACCACAAAGAAUAAAUGGGAGGAAGGCAGGACCUUGAAGAGGCCACAGGGACCUCAAGGAAGGAGAAAACCAGAACGUUAAACACGAGGAAAGCCCAGGGGUCACAGGAGCGUUAGGCACCAUACGGAGCAGGCUGUGUUCAUGACAUAAAAGGAGGGACACACAGCAUAAAUUUCACAUUCUAAAAUAAUAUGAAAAGACCAUAACUGAAGAGCUGAAGUUGAACUUUGUGGUUUCUCAGAACACAAGUAGAUGAUGACCACCAACCAUGGUUUCUAAAUGAACUGGGUUCAAAAUGUAUCUGGUGGCAACAGAGGGCUUCUUUGGACCCUGGCAUUAGAAGCAUAACAAGGUAAUUUGAGGAGCUGCUAUUUCACAAGGUGGUGGCAUCCCGGGGAGCUUCUAUUCCAUGAGUCAAGUUCAAUAUCUCACCACCGUGGAAAAGGAGUUUCCAAGCAGGAACGAGCAGUAUCACUGGGAAGCCGAUAUUUGGGCCAUCCUUGGAGAUCCCUGCUGUGAGGACGGCAGGUGUUCCUCCCGUGAAAGCACUAAACUGGGUGUGACUCAGGGCCAGGUGGGAAUUCACACAUGUAUCUGGUUGAUGGCAAGGCGGAGACGUGUGCCCCCGUGAGUCCUGUUCCAUGUUGGUCUGCAUGAAUGGAGGCUCUGCAGACAGACCCUCGGACUGCAUCUCCAAAGACUGAACCUGGACCCUGGGGGGUCCUGCUGCCUCCUGGUAUUUCAAGGACGAUGACCAUCACGAGGGGAAAGGCGGGCCUGGCCACCGUCCUGUCACUGACACACUUGCUCCUGACAUACAGCUCCUAAAGCCUUGGAAUCUGUGGAGUGACAACAUCUUUUGUGUGCUAAUGAGAUGACUGGGGGCUGGGGACGCCUGGACAGCCUCAGGAUGGAGCAGGUCACCAGAGGAACCAGCCAUGUGCAUAGAGGGUUGGAACUUGUGGUCCCAUCCCCAACCUCUAGGGAGGGGAGAAGGCUGAAGGUCAAGUUGAUCACCAGUGGACAGUGAUUUAACAAAUCAUGCCUA